GGGGUUUGUUCAUUCACUCAGUGACCGCCAACAGAGGCCCACCUUGCAGCAGGUGCCGGGAGAUGCUUUCAAAUUUACAAAGAGCAGAGGACCCCUGAUUGUCCCCUGGGUGUUUAACAGGAAUAAUAGGGGCGGGAGCCUGGGAGUGCAAGGGGUAGGCCGCGCUGGACUCGCCCACAGUCUCCUGCUCUUCCUGGGCCGACACUUGCAUCCUCCCCAGUGACCAUCACCACCGAGUCACAACGUGCCCCAGCAAGUAGCAGGCACACCUCCACGACGGGCUAACGACAGGACGGCUUUCCUCCUCCCUGGACAUCUGUGAACUAGGAUGUUCUGUUCUUCCCCCUUAGAGAGGAGACUAAGGCACGAGGCAGGUGAGUCCCACGGCUGGGGAUGGCAGAGAGAGGCACUCAACGCAGGUCCGGAGCCAAGGCCUGUGGUCCGCUCCCCGCCCCCGUCCUGCCUUUCCUUAGAGAGCUCGGAACCCGGCCAGGCUGCUCCUGUUCCUCUGUGGGGCCCAGGGGGCCCGGGAUGGGGUUGAGAGUCUCACUACGGAGGAGGCCUGGGAACUGGACCCAGAGCCCAUCCGGCCGCCCCGGAUGAAGGCGCGAACAUCCGGGCAUUUCCUGUUCCCGAGCAUGGGGGCCUGGGCCCGGCCAGCUCCAGGGAGCCAGCUAGGCGGGAAGGGGCUGCCAGGGCCCUGGCACCAGCCCCGGGCCGUGUGCACUCGGCCAGCUCCGUUGGCUGCCCAUCAAGGCUUCAAAGGGGUGGGUGAAGCAAGCCGGGGGGCCGGGCUGGCCGGGUCUGCCUGAAACCGAGACGGGAGAACAAAAGGAGGCCGUUGUGGGCUGGUUGGGCGGGAGCCCUGGCGGGAAGGAGGGCGGGAACCGGGAGGCCCCAAGGUGCGGGCGGCCCGGGCGGUAGGCAGGAUCCAGUCAUGGCUUCUGCACACAGGAAUCCGGGCCCAGGAAAGGCACCUUGGCAGGUGGCGGCAGCCAGCUUCAAGGCUACAUGCUGCAUCUGUCAGGGAUCUGUAGGACUUGGGGGCUGUGCCUUGCAGAGAAUUCAUCUGUCUGUCCCCUAGGCCAAUGUGCCCACCCAGCCACCAGGAGCCAGACACUUGUGUCGCUGAACGCCAGCCAUGAGCCAGAACAACAGGAGCCCUGCUUUGGCUGGUUUGUGCAGGUACAAUCCCAGGGUCUCUCCAAGAUGAGAGGGCAGAAGUCACAGAAGUCUGGGACCUGACAUACACCUGGACGCCCCUCUUGACUCCAUCACCAGCUGUGAUCUUGGACAAGUGACUGACCCCCAAGCCUUAGUACCGGGCACACAAUAAGUGCUCAAUAAACGUCCCAGGCUGGGAGUACAUCAGCACAUUGGAAGGGUGUAGAAGAUUCAUGGCGAGGUCAAGUAUGAGAAAGUACUUAUCAAGGCAGAAGCCCUCUUGUCAGAAGAAGUGGCCUCGGAACCAACCUCACUCGUGGUUCUAGAAGGAAGGAAGUCAUACUGAGACUCUGGAUGAACUGAAAUCGCUCCUGAUGUCUAAUCCAAGGCCGGCAGUGUGUCAGAGCAGGUUCUUGCCAGAACUGCAGCAAACACUCGCUGACGUGGCACAAAACAGGCUGGGAAUGGCACGAAGUGGGCCACUUGGAGGGGCCUGGAGUGCUGCCCUGCCAGAGGGGGACCUCUCUUCCUCUGGGACUGAACG
ensembl:lncRNA